CUCAGAGGGAAGGCCAGGCAUGAGGAAAAGAGCCAUUCACUUCAUUAAUUUCAAUUUAGUAUUGAACCAUUUCAAUCAAUGAUUUAUUAUUUUUGUUUAUAAAAUAUGUUGUAGUUCCCCAAAGAGAGCUCUUAAUCCUCUUAAGAAUGCACUAAACUCCUCCAUAUCUGUUAGGACUGUGGAUUUGGGGUCCUCAGCAGUGAGAGAGAGUUAUAUCCGGGGUCCUGCUUGGCCUGUUUCAUUGGAGUUACCUCUCUCCCUGACAUUCAGCUGAAGCAACAGGAUUGGGUGGCCGCCAUAAUUUGACCAGCUGACUUCCAUUCCUGGUUCCAGCUGAUUGAACCAAAUGAGUCCCAGUUCAAGCUGAGCCAAUCAGCUUUGCGUCUUAUGGAUUUUAUCUUCAGAAGACAAAGAUUCAUCUAGGAUUUCCUAAGCCAUUUCCUCCAUUUGAACAGUGAGGCGUCUGUCUUCAUUGCCUUGGGGAGGAGUCCACACAGAUAAAGCAGACUACAGAAGAGGAAAAUUCUUGGCUAGUCUAUUUCUCUGUCAAUAAUAAACAGUGGAU
rnacentral:lncRNA from 1 species